rnacentral:rRNA from 1 species
GAUGAACGCUGACGGAAUGCUUAACACAUGCAAGUCAACUUGAACUUCGGUUUGGGUGGCGGACGGGUGAGUAACGCGUAAAGAACUUGCCUCACAGAUAGGGACAACAUUUGGAAACGAAUGCUAAUACCUGAUAUUAUGAUUAUAUGGCAUCGUAUAAUUAUGAAAGCUAUAUGCGCUGUGAGAGAGCUUUGCGUCCCAUUAGCUAGUUGGAGGGGUAACGGCUCACCAAGGCGAUGAUGGGUAGCCGGCCUGAGAGGGUGAUCGGCCACAAGGGGACUGAGACACGGCCCUUACUCCUACGGGAGGCAGCAGUGGGGAAUAUGGGACAAUGGACCAAGAGUCUGAUCCAGCAAUUCUGUGUGCACGAUGAAGUUUUUCGGAAUGUAAAGUGCUUUCAGUUGGGAAGAAAAAAAUGACGGUACCAACAGAAGAAGUGACGGCUAAAUACGUG